AUCACGGGGGAGCUGGCAGUGGACAGCCCUGGGCCGGUGAAGCAGUAAGAAAACAUCUCUUCCUAGAAAGAGGGUCUUCAAUCAGCUCACAGCAACAGUGGCAUCAAACCUUCUGAUCUUGAGCUUUACAGUGGUACCUGUGAGCCAGUCAUAAAAUGGAAAUCUAUGCUGCAUGCUCUGCCAUACACCAAGUGACUCCUGACAGAAAUUUUUCUUCAGACAAACAGCAGAGGAUUAUCAAAGGCAAACAACCAAAAGAGAAAGUUCAAAUACUGUGACUGAGAUACCACGUUCUGAGGUGCAUCUAUGAAGCUGCCCAAACAAGCUGAGUUUGUGAUGCUACUUUUCCAGCAAAGCAGAAGAGGUGUUCACUAGACUUGAGUACCCAAACGAAAUUGCGGUUCUGCAAAUUCAAAACAGUCCUCACCAUCUAGAAAAUACGGGAUACCUAGAGAUUGAAUGACAAACUAAGUCUUUCAACAUCAGCCCUGGCAAAGCAUUUUCCUUGGGCCAGAAGAAAACCACGAUGACAUUACCUGAAAGUCCAUGUGGCCAAAUUAUUGGGAGAAUCUUUCACACCACAAGGAAGUACCCAGUACAUACCCUGGAGCAAUACUAUACAUGCCUCAUGGAAAGCAGAGAAGCAACAAUAAAAACUGUCCAUAAGAGCAAUGUGUCAAUACUCAGAGCCUUCGCUAUGAUGAGAUGUUAUCUACAAGAUGAGAAGGUGCUCACAGUGUGCAGAAGUGAUAUCAACAGACCCUGAAAAGUAUUUAUGAACU